rnacentral:rRNA from 1 species
AUUGAACGCUGGCGGCAUGCCUUACACAUGCAAGUCGAACGGUAACGGGUCCUUCGGGAUGCCGACGAGUGGCGAACGGGUGUGUAAUAUAUCUGAACGUGCCCAGUAGUGGGGGAUAACUGCUCGAAAGAGCAGCUAAUGCCGCAUACGACCUGAUGGUGAAAGGGGGGGAUCGCAAGACCUCUCGCUAUUUUAGCGGCCGAUAUCAGAUUAGCUAGUUGGUGGGGUAAAGGCCUACCAAGGCAACUAUCUGUAGUUGGUCUGAGAGGACGACCAGCCACACUAGGACUGAGACACGGCCCAGACUCCUACGGGAGGCAGCAGUGGGGAAUUUUGGACAAUGGGCGCAAGCAUGAUCCAGCAAUGCCGCGUGCAGGAAGAAGGCCUUCGGGUUGUAAACUGCUUUUGUCAGGGAAGAAAUCUUCUGGGCUAAUACCACGGGAGGAUGACGGUACCUGAAGAAUAAGCACCGGCUAACUACGUG